UUCAUCAUCAUUGUUAUCAUCAUCUUCAUCUUCAUCAUCAUCGUCUUCAUCAUCGUCAUCUGACCUUGAUCAUCGUCAUCAUCGUCUUCGUCAUCAUCGUCUUCAUCUUCGUCAUCGUCAUCGUCGUCAUCGUCUCCAUCACCCUCCUGAGCCUUCGGCCUCGCUCGUGGGUUUCCUCCUCCUCCUCCCCUCCCCGGGGGGGGGGGGGGGGGGGGGGGGGGGGGGGGGGGGGGGGGGGGGGGGGGGGGGGGGGGGGGGGGGGGGGGGGGGGGGGGGGGGGGGGGGGGGGGGGGGGGGGGGGGGGGGGGGGGGGGGGGGGGGGGGGGGGGGGGGGGGGGGGGGGGGGGGGGGGGGGGGGGGGGGGGGGGGGGGGGGGGGGGGGGGGGGGGGGGGGGGGGGGGGGGGGGGGGGGGGGUCAUCGUCUUCAUCAACCACCGGAAGGAGAAGUUCCACUGCGGCUUUGGCCUCACCAUUGGAUAACCUUCAUCGUCGUCAUCGUCAUCAUCUUCAUCAUCGUCAUCGUCAUCGUCAUCGUCAUCAACCACCGGAAGGAGAAGUUCCACUGCGGCUUCGGCCUCACCAUCGGAUAGACCUUCAUCAUCAUCAUCGUCAUCAUCUUCAUCAUCGUCAUCUUCAUCAACUGACCUUCAUCAUCAUCGUCAUCGUCAUUGUUAUCAUCAUCUUCAUCGUCAUCUUCAACUGACCUUCUUCAUCAUCAUCAUCAUCAGCUGAUCUUCAUCAUCAU
rnacentral:lncRNA from 12 species